AGACGCACGGCUGUCUGGAUC
rnacentral:misc_RNA from 1 species